GACGAACGCUGGCGGCGCGCCUAACACAUGCAAGUCGAACGAGCGAGAGAGAGCUUGCUUUCUCGAGCGAGUGGCGAACGGGUGAGUAACGCGUGAGGAACCUGCCUCAAAGAGGGGAACAACAGUUGGAAACGACUGCUAAUACCGCAUAAGCCCACGGCUCGGCAUCGAGCAGGGGGAAAAGGAGCAAUCCGCUUUGAGAUGGCCUCGCGUCCGAUUAGCUAGUUGGUGAGGUAACGGCCCACCAAGGCAACGAUCGGUAGCCGGACUGAGAGGGUGAACGGCCACAUUGGGACUGAGACACGGCCCAGACUCCUACGGGAGGCAGCAGUGGGGAAUAUUGCACAAUGGGGGAAACCCUGAUGCAGCGACGCCGCGUGGAGGAAGAAGGUCUUCGGAUUGUAAACUCCUGUUGUUGGGGAAGACAAUGACGGUACCCAACAAGGAAGUGACGGCUAACUACGUGCCAGCCGCCGCAGUAA
rnacentral:rRNA from 1 species